rnacentral:rRNA from 1 species
UGCAGUCGAACGCGUUGGCCCAAUUGAUUGAUGGUGCUUGCACCUGAUUGAUUUUGGUCGCCAACGAGUGGCGGACGGGUGAGUAACACGUAGGUAACCUGCCCAGAAGCGGGGGACAACAUUUGGAAACAGAUGCUAAUACCGCAUAACAGCGUUGUUCGCAUGAACAACGCUUAAAAGAUGGCUUCUCGCUAUCACUUCUGGAUGGACCUGCGGUGCAUUAGCUUGUUGGUGGGGUAACGGCCUACCAAGGCGAUGAUGCAUAGCCGAGUUGAGAGACUGAUCGGCCACAAUGGGACUGAGACACGGCCCAUACUCCUACGGGAGGCAGCAGUAGGGAAUCUUCCACAAUGGGCGCAAGCCUGAUGGAGCAACACCGCGUGAGUGAAGAAGGGUUUCGGCUCGUAAAGCUCUGUUGUUAAAGAAGAACACGUAUGAGAGUAACUGUUCAUACGUUGACGGUAUUUAACCAGAAAGUCACGGCUAACUACGUGCCAGCAGCCGCGGUAAUACGUAGGUGGCAAGCGUUAUCCGGAUUUAUUGGGCGUAAAGAGAGUGCAGGCGGUUUUCUAAGUCUGAUGUGAAAGCCUUCGGCUUAACCGGAGAAGUGCAUCGGAAACUGGAUAACUUGAGUGCAGAAGAGGGUAGUGGAACUCCAUGUGUAGCGGUGGAAUGCGUAGAUAUAUGGAAGAACACCAGUGGCGAAGGCGGCUACCUGGUCUGCAACUGACGCUGAGACUCGAAAGCAUGGGUAGCGAACAGGAUUAGAUACCCUGGUAGUCCAUGCCGUAAACGAUGAGUGCUAGGUGUUGGAGGGUUUCCGCCCUUCAGUGCCGGAGCUAACGCAUUAAGCACUCCGCCUGGGGAGUACGACCGCAAGGUUGAAACUCAAAGGAAUUGACGGGGGCCCGCACAAGCGGUGGAGCAUGUGGUUUAAUUCGAAGCUACGCGAAGAACCUUACCAGGUCUUGACAUCUUGCGCCAACCCUAGAGAUAGGGCGUUUCCUUCGGGAACGCAAUGACAGGUGGUGCAUGGUCGUCGUCAGCUCGUGUCGUGAGAUGUUGGGUUAAGUCCCGCAACGAGCGCAACCCUUGUUACUAGUUGCCAGCAUUAAGUUGGGCACUCUAGUGAGACUGCCGGUGACAAACCGGAGGAAGGUGGGGACGACGUCAGAUCAUCAUGCCCCUUAUGACCUGGGCUACACACGUGCUACAAUGGACGGUACAACGAGUCGCGAACUCGCGAGGGCAAGCAAAUCUCUUAAAACCGUUCUCAGUUCGGACUGCAGGCUGCAACUCGCCUGCACGAAGUCGGAAUCGCUAGUAAUCGCGGAUCAGCAUGCCGCGGUGAAUACGUUCCCGGGCCUUGUACACACCGCCCGUCACACCAUGAGAGUUUGUAACACCCAAAGUCGGUGGGGUAACCUUUUAGGAGCCA